AAUGUGACAUUUUAAUUCGAAAGACUUAAUAAUUCAUAAAUAAAGAUUUACAAAAAUUAAACAUUCAAAAACAUCAAGAGUCGCAGGAAGGGAAAAUAAAAACACAAAAGGAAGGAAAACAUGAAGCAAACAAGCAAAGCAGACAAGGACUACUUAAUGUCAUCGUCAUCACUAAAUAGUCCAGGAGGCCAACGCAUUCUGAUUUCAGUAAGCUUGCAAUCCAGGUGUUGAUGAAAGCUUCAUUUGGUGGACUUCAUGGAUCUCGUAUUUGAAAUACUCCAAAUUUAAAGGUCCUUCUUACUAAGGUGCUUGUUAUUGAGGUAAAGCAUGUUGACACUGAGAGUCUCCCCUUUCUCUGGUGCCUUUCUACACUAGAACUCCAUUGUAGUGGUCAUAUUGCAUCUGACCCAGGUAGUGCAUUAAUAGUUUGAUUGAUUUUUCUAUUGAUUCUUUCUUCCUCUUUUAAAUCAAAUCUAAUAUUUUCCAUAACUUUUGUAACUAAGUGACCAUAUGAAUACCACAUAUUCCUCUUUCUUCGACA